AGUGUAAGCGAGGAGGUGGAGUUUCAUUGACAAUGAGGAUGUUGGCUUAGAAGCAGCCAUCAUUGAAAGAAAGCGUAACAGCUCACCCAUCGAGAGACUCUGCGCCACAAAUAAUCGGGACUCAAAUCUAUCACCGAAACUGAGGGCUUAUGCUUAUGCAUGAGCGGUAGGAGAGUGUUCCACUCUGCGUUGAAGGCAAAGGGGUGACCCAUGCUGGAGCGUGUGGAAGUAAGAAUGUUGGCACAAGUAACCGCAAGGAAGGUGAGAUCCCUUCCCGCCGAAAGAAUAAGGUUUCCUAUUCAAUGAUUGUCAGAGUAGGGUUAGCCGGGCCUAAGGAGAUGGCAAACGCCGGAUCCGAUGGACAUACUGUUAAUAUUCAGUAGCUUGGUAGUAAUGUGAUGGGAUGACGGGGUGUAGUAUAUACAGCGACUUAUUGGAUUGUCGUUUAUUGCAUAAGGACGAGGUACAGGGAAAUCCGUACUUCAUCAGUCCAAGUGUCGUAUGAAGAUGAUGGGCAACCUGAUUCAACUGUAUAAAGCACGCCUCCGAGAAAAGUCUCUACAUUCUGUGAAUACAGAACGUCUUCUUGUGCCUUUUACUAGGUACAAGCUUGCUUGUGUCUAGAUCAUCUAGGUACAAGAAGAUGCUUAAGUUACUAUUAAUCCGUACCGCAAACCGACACAGGUAUUCGAGUCGAGUAGACUAAGGCGAACGAGUGAUAUCUCCCUAAGGAACUAGGCAAAAAAGCGGCCGUAAGUUAGCGAUAAGGCCUGCCCCCAUCACUUUGUUUUUAAACAAAUGUGUGGGUUCUAGAGAAUUAGAUAAAAUGAAUUGAGACAAAUAGUGUGAUGGAAAUGAUUCUCUAUGACCAACAUCGCUUUUGAAAAUAAAGUGAUGGGGGCCGCAGCGAAAGUUUCCCUAGCGACUGUUUACCAAAAACACAGCUUCCUGCGAACACGUAAGUGGAUGUAUAGGAGGUGACGCCUGACCAAUGCGGGAAGGUUAAAUAUCGGCGGUUCUUCGGAGCUGGAUGAUAUAAGCCCCCGUCAAUGUCGGCCGUAACUAUAACGGUCCUAAGGUACUGUCCAUAGCUAAUAUGGACAGUAGGACUAGGACGGUUAUAUGUAGUUUUUUGUGAACUUUCUAAUCAUACGCCUACUAAAAGCUACCUCAUAUCCAGAAAUGUAUAUAGAGUCCGAAGUGGUUAGCGAGAGACCAACGCCACACAUCUGACCAUUGAGUUGAAGAUGAAGAUAGAGUCCUUCUUGAGGAAUAGAAGAGCGAAAUUCCUUGUCUGGUAAGUUCAGACGUGCACGAAUGGCGUAACGACUGGGGAACUGUCUCAGGGAGUAGCUCGGUGAAAAUACAGUACCGGUGAAGAUGCCGGUUACCUGCAGAUAGACGAAAAGACCCCGUGAGCUUUACUCUAGCUUGGUAUUGCAAUUGUUCAAUUACUGCGUAGUGUAGUGACGAGAGGUUUGAUGUGUAUGAUUUCGGUUGUACUCUACUCAACAAUGAAACAGUCAUCUGUAAUUGGGCACUUGCUAACGUGAACGGAAAAAACGUUCGCAGACAGUAUCUGGUGGGGAGUUUAACUGGGGCGGUUUCCUCCUAAAAGGUAACGGAGGAGUAUAUUAAGGUCAUCUAGGCGCGAAUGGAAACCGUGCCGAUAGCGUAAGGGCAUAAGAUGGCUUGACUGUAAGACGGGCAUGUCGAGCAGACACGAAAGUGGGUCCUAGUGAACCUACACUUCGCUUUAGAUGCGGGUGCAGAUUAACGGAUAGAAGCUACCACGGGGAUAACAGGCUAGUUGUGCCUAAGAGUUCAUAUCGACGGCACAGUUCGGCACCUUAACAUAUCGGGGUGCGUCAGGAGUAAUCCUGUAGCAACAUAUGUACAAUCGUCAAUAAAUAAUAUGUACAAAGAAAUUCUUGGCUUAUAACGGUGAAACCCAUGCGCAUGAACAACGCAAGGGCAAUACCGUGGGAAGUUUAUGAAUAAGAAAGCGAUCACUCCAUUUGAAAUGGAGAGCUGCACAAGUAACAUUGUGAUUAUUCAUAUAACCCUGUAGAGACUUAUCACGUUUGCACGGAGAGUAUCCAAACAAACAAUGUGAUGGAAUUAUGAGAAGAACUCAUAGUUAAUACGCCAACGCCACCUUUGAUCGGGUGGAUGAAGAUAUAGUCCGAUCCUUGUAGUAAUACAAGACAAAUACGACAGCGAUGUCGGCUCAUCUUAUCCUGGUGGUGGAGAAGCUACCAAGGGUAUGGCUGUUCGCCAUUUAAAAAGAUACGUGAGCUGGGUUCAAACCGUCGUGAGACAGGUUGGUUUCCUAUCUUCUGCAGGCGUUCGAAUAUUGAAAAGAUUUGCUCCUAGUACGAGAGGACCGGAGUGAACUGACCUCUGGUGUGUGGGCUCUAGCGCCAGCUGGACCGCCCAGUAGCUAUGUCGGGAAUGGAUAAGUUCUGAAAGCAUCUAAGAACGAAGCCAACUUCAAGAUAAGUAUUCGUUGAAGGGUCGUGAGAGAUUAUCACGUUGAUAGGUGUUAGGUGUAAGCACAGUAAUGUGUGUAGCCGAGACAUACUAAGUACCCGAAUCCUAUUAGGAA
rnacentral:rRNA from 1 species